GCCGCGUCGACGUAGGCGGACUUUUAAGUGAGAUGUGAAAUACCCGGGCUCAACUUGGGUGCUGCAUUUCAAACUGGAAGUCUAGAGUGCAGGAGAGGAGAAUGGAAUUCCUAGUGUAGCGGUGAAAUGCGUAGAGAUUAGGAAGAACACCAGUGGCGAAGGCGAUUCUCUGGACUGUAACUGACGCUGAGGCUCGAAAGCGUGGGGAGCAAACAGGAUUAGAUACCCUGGUCGUCCACGCCGUAAACGAUGAAUACUAGGUGUAGGGGUUGUCAUGACCUCUGUGCCGCCGCUAACGCAUUAAGUAUUCCGCCUGGGGAGUACGGUCGCAAGAUUAAAACUCAAAGGAAUUGACGGGGUCCGCACAAGC
rnacentral:rRNA from 1 species